GUAGUCAUAUGCUUGUCUCAAAGAUUAAGCCAUGCAUGUCUAAGUAUAAGCACUUUAUACUGUGAAACUGCGAAUGGCUCAUUAAAUCAGUUAUCGUUUAUUUGAUAGUACCUUACUACAUGGAUACCUGUGGUAAUUCUAGAGCUAAUACAUGCUAAAAACCUCGACUUCGGAAGGGGUGUAUUUAUUAGAUAAAAAACCAAUGCCCUUCGGGGCUCCUUGGUGAAUCAUAAUAACUUAACGAAUCGCAUGGCAUUGCGCCGGCGAUGGUUCAUUCAAAUUUCUGCCCUAUCAACUUUCGAUGGUAGGAUAGUGGCCUACCAUGGUGGCAACGGGUAACGGGGAA
rnacentral:rRNA from 1 species